GGGUUGUGAGGUUAAGCGACUAAGCGUACACGGUGGAUGCCCUGGCAGUCAGAGGCGAUGAAGGGCGUGCUAAUCUGCGAUAAGCGCCGGUAAGGUGAUAUGAACCGUUAUAACCGGCGAUACCCGAAUGGGGAAACCCAGUGUGACUCGUCACACUAUCAUUAACUGAAUCCAUAGGUUAAUGAGGCGAACCGGGGGAACUGAAACAUCUAAGUACCCCGAGGAAAAGAAAUCAACCGAGAUUCCCCCAGUAGCGGCGAGCGAACGGGGAGGAGCCCAGAGCCUGAAUCAGCAUGUGUGUUAGUGGAAGCGUCUGGAAAGGCGCGCGAUACAGGGUGACAGCCCCGUACACAAAAGCGCAUGUGCUGUGAGCUCGAUGAGUAGGGCGGGACACGUGGUAUCCUGUCUGAAUAUGGGGGGACCAUCCUCCAAGGCUAAAUACUCCUGACUGACCGAUAGUGAACCAGUACCGUGAGGGAAAGGCGAAAAGAACCCCGGCGAGGGGAGUGAAAAAGAACCUGAAACCGUGUACGUACAAGCAGUGGGAGCACAGGUUUACCUGUGUGA
rnacentral:rRNA from 1 species